GAUGAACGCUGGCGGCGUGCCUAAUACAUGCAAGUCGAGCGAACAGAUGAGGAGCUUGCUCCUCUGACGUUAGCGGCGGACGGGUGAGUAACACGUGGAUAACCUACCUAUAAGACUGGGAUAACUUCGGGAAACCGGAGCUAAUACCGGAUAAUAUAUUGAACCGCAUGGUUCAAUAGUGAAAGACGGUUUUGCUGUCACUUAUAGAUGGAUCCCCGCCGCAUUAGCUAGUUGGUAAGGUAACGGCUUACCAAGGCAACGAUGCGUAGCCGACGUGAGAGGGUGAUCGGCCACCCUGGAACUGAGACACGGUCCAGACUCCUACGGGAGGCAGCAGUAGGGAAUCUUCCGCAAUGGGCGAAAGCCUGACGGAGCAACGCCGCGUGAGUGAUGAAGGUCUUCGGAUCGUAAAACUCUGUUAUUAGGGAAGAACAAAUGUGUAAGUAACUAUGCACGUCUUGACGGUACCUAAUCAGAAAGCCACGGCUAACUACGUG
rnacentral:rRNA from 1 species